rnacentral:rRNA from 1 species
GAUGAACGCUGGCGGCGUGCCUAAUACAUGCAAGUAGAACGCUGAAGGCGGAGCUUGCUCUUCUGGAUGAGUUGCGAACGGGUGAGUAACGCGUAGGUAACCUGCCUGGUAGCGGGGGAUAACUAUUGGAAACGAUAGCUAAUACCGCAUGACAACAGUUAUUGCAUGAUAACUGUUUAAAAGUGGCAACUGCUCCACUACCAGAUGCACCUGCGUUGUAUUAGCUAGUUGGUGGGGUAACGGCUCACCAAGGCGACGAUACAUAGCCGACCUGAGAGGGUGAUCGGCCACACUGGGAGUGAGACACGGCACAGACUGCUACGGGAGGCAGCAGUAGGGAAACGGGGGCAAGGGACGGAAGUCUGAGCGAGCAACGCCGCGGGAGGGAAGAAGGAUGUCGGAUCGUAAAGCUCGGUUGUAAGAGAAGAACGAGUGUGAGAGUGGAAAGUACACACUGUGACGGUAGCUGACCAGAAAGCGACGGCUAACUACGUG